UCAGAGGGCAUGUCCAGCAACCGCUACUACACCGCCGUGUUCCAGAGUGAGAAUUGGUAAGAAUGCAGAGCAUUGGUAAUUGCAACUGCUUUGGCAUACUCCCAUUGUGACAUUACAUGUAGAUGAUAAGAAUAUAAAUGCAGAGGCAAUUGCAACUACUUUGGCCUACUUGUACGACCACCACCCCAAGCUCAGUGAUACCAAUGCCUUUCGUGUUUUAGCUGCUGCUUCUUUUCUUGAUCUUCAGGUUUGCAUAUCCGUGAAAUUUCUAGUUGGUGGUGCUUCCUUGAAGGAACUUACGGAACUGACACUUUUUAAUAUCUUUCUUAACGUAAGGGAUUCAAUUUCUUUGCACUUAUCAUGAUUAUAUGUACAUUUCAUAUCCCUCUUAAAUUUGGCAUGUGCUACUGGUUUGCUAUGGGACUGAUGUAAGAAUUAAUUUACCAUCUUAUGUCCACAAAAUACAAAAGAGAGCUGAAAGUCUUUGUUGGUGUCUGUUUCGUGGUCCUGCAGUUCUUCCUUUGUUUAUGGCAUACCAAUUUCCGUGAUAAAAGAGUUUUUAACAUUAUGGUUAUUACUGUUAUCAGUUUAAAGACCUUACCUAUGUGCCUCCGCAUUGUUCUGUGCAGAAAAAAAGUUGCAACAGGUCGCAAAACGGCAGUCAGCGGGACAGAAGAUAUUAUAACAUCGAUCACUGAUAAUGAAAGACAACAGACUGGUAUUUCUUUUUUUCCUUAUAUUUUUUUUUUUAGAGUUGUAGGAUAUAUUCCUUUAAAAAUGUUCUUUAAUACUACAACUCCUCAUGACCUUCAAUAUUAAUUUUUUCUUUUUGUCAUGGAAUAUGUUCUUUACUGCAUGUUUUAGCUCUUACUUAUUUUGCAUUCUAACUUCUUUGUUUUUCUUUUACAAUAGGACAAUAUUGCAACAUA